CAAUAGCGUAUAUUUAAGUUGUUGCAGUUAAAAAGCUCGUAGUCGGAUUUUGGCUGAGAACGAUCGGUCCGCCGUUAGAUGUGCACUGAUUGGUCUCAGCUUCCUGGUGAGGAGGUGUGCUUCACGGCCACUUAGUCACCGUGGUUACUUUGAAAAAAUUAGAGUGUUCAAAGCGGGCUUACGCUUGAAUAUAUUAGCAUGGAAUAACACCAUAGGACUCCUGUCCUAUUUCGUUGGUCUCGGGACGGGAGUAAUGAUUAAGAGGAACAGUUGGGGGCAUUCGUAUUUCAUUGUCAGAGGUGAAAUUCUUGGAUUUAUGAAAGACGAACUUCUGCGAAAGCAUUUGCCAAGGAUGUUUUCAUUGA
rnacentral:rRNA from 1 species